GGAGAGAUGGCAGAGUGGUUGAAUGCGGUGGUCUCGAAAACCACUUUAGGGUAACACCUAACGAGGGUUCGAAUCCCUCUCUCUCCG
rnacentral:tRNA from 1 species